rnacentral:rRNA from 1 species
UUAAGUUAUUAAGGGCGCACGGUGGAUGCCUUGGCACUAGAAGCCGAUGAAGGACGUUACUAACGACGAUAUGCUUUGGGGAGCUGUAAGUAAGCUUUGAUCCAGAGAUUUCCGAAUGGGGAAACCCAGCAUGAGUUAUGUCAUGUUAUCGAUAUGUGAAUACAUAGGAUAUCAGAAGGCACACCCGGAGAACUGAAACAUCUUAGUACCCGGAGGAAGAGAAAGAAAAUUCGAUUCCCUUAGUAGCGGCGAGCGAAACGGGAAGAGCCCAAACCAAAAAGCUUGCUUGUUGGGGUUGUAGGACACUCUAUACGGAGUUACAAAGGACGACAUUAGACGAAUCAUCUGGAAAGAUGAAUCAAAGAAGGUAAUAAUCCUGUAGUCGAAAAUGUUGUCUCUCUUGAGUGGAUCCUGAGUACGACGGAGCACGUGAAAUUCCGUCGGAAUCUGGGAGGACCAUCUCCUAAGGCUAAAUACUCUCUAGUGACCGAUAGUGAACCAGUACCGUGAGGGAAAGGUGAAAAGCACCCCGGAAGGGGAGUGAAAUAGAACCUGAAACCGUGUGCUUACAAGUAGUCAGAGCCCGUUAAUGGGUGAUGGCGUGCCUUUUGUAGAAUGAACCGGCGAGUUACGAUUUGAUGCAAGGUUAAGCAGUAAAUGUGGAGCCGUAGCGAAAGCGAGUCUGAAUAGGGCGUUUAGUAUUUGGUCGUAGACCCGAAACCAGGUGAUCUACCCUUGGUCAGGUUGAAGUUCAGGUAACACUGAAUGGAGGACCGAACCGACUUACGUUGAAAAGUGAGCGGAUGAACUGAGGGUAGCGGAGAAAUUCCAAUCGAACCUGGAGAUAGCUGGUUCUCUCCGAAAUAGCUUUAGGGCUAGCCUCAAGUGAUGAUUAUUGGAGGUAGAGCACUGUUUGGACGAGGGGCCCCUCUCGGGUUACCGAAUUCAGACAAACUCCGAAUGCCAAUUAAUUUAACUUGGGAGUCAGAACAUGGGUGAUAAGGUCCGUGUUCGAAAGGGAAACAGCCCAGACCACCAGCUAAGGUCCCAAAAUAUAUGUUAAGUGGAAAAGGAUGUGGCGUUGCCCAGACAACUAGGAUGUUGGCUUAGAAGCAGCCAUCAUUUAAAGAGUGCGUAAUAGCUCACUAGUCGAGUGACACUGCGCCGAAAAUGUACCGGGGCUAAACAUAUUACCGAAGCUGUGGAUUGUCCUUUGGACAAUGGUAGGAGAGCGUUCUAAGGGCGUUGAAGCAUGAUCGUAAGGACAUGUGGAGCGCUUAGAAGUGAGAAUGCCGGUGUGAGUAGCGAAAGACGGGUGAGAAUCCCGUCCACCGAUUGACUAAGGUUUCCAGAGGAAGGCUCGUCCGCUCUGGGUUAGUCGGGUCCUAAGCUGAGGCCGACAGGCGUAGGCGAUGGAUAACAGGUUGAUAUUCCUGUACCACCUAUAAUCGUUUUAAUCGAUGGGGGGACGCAGUAGGAUAGGCGAAGCGUGCGAUUGGAUUGCACGUCUAAGCAGUAAGGCUGAGUAUUAGGCAAAUCCGGUACUCGUUAAGGCUGAGCUGUGAUGGGGAGAAGACAUUGUGUCUUCGAGUCGUUGAUUUCACACUGCCGAGAAAAGCCUCUAGAUAGAAAAUAGGUGCCCGUACCGCAAACCGACACAGGUAGUCAAGAUGAGAAUUCUAAGGUGAGCGAGCGAACUCUCGUUAAGGAACUCGGCAAAAUGACCCCGUAACUUCGGGAGAAGGGGUGCUCUUUAGGGUUAACGCCCAGAAGAGCCGCAGUGAAUAGGCCCAAGCGACUGUUUAUCAAAAACACAGGUCUCUGCUAAACCGUAAGGUGAUGUAUAGGGGCUGACGCCUGCCCGGUGCUGGAAGGUUAAGAGGAGUGGUUAGCUUCUGCGAAGCUACGAAUCGAAGCCCCAGUAAACGGCGGCCGUAACUAUAACGGUCCUAAGGUAGCGAAAUUCCUUGUCGGGUAAGUUCCGACCCGCACGAAAGGCGUAACGAUUUGGGCACUGUCUCAACGAGAGACUCGGUGAAAUCAUAGUACCUGUGAAGAUGCAGGUUACCCGCGACAGGACGGAAAGACCCCGUGGAGCUUUACUGUAGCCUGAUAUUGAAAUUCGGCACAGCUUGUACAGGAUAGGUAGGAGCCUUUGAAACGUGAGCGCUAGCUUACGUGGAGGCGCUGGUGGGAUACUACCCUAGCUGUGUUGGCUUUCUAACCCGCACCACUUAUCGUGGUGGGAGACAGUGUCAGGCGGGCAGUUUGACUGGGGCGGUCGCCUCCUAAAAGGUAACGGAGGCGCUCAAAGGUUCCCUCAGAAUGGUUGGAAAUCAUUCAUAGAGUGUAAAGGCAUAAGGGAGCUUGACUGCGAGACCUACAAGUCGAGCAGGGUCGAAAGACGGACUUAGUGAUCCGGUGGUUCCGCAUGGAAGGGCCAUCGCUCAACGGAUAAAAGCUACCCCGGGGAUAACAGGCUUAUCUCCCCCAAGAGUUCACAUCGACGGGGAGGUUUGGCACCUCGAUGUCGGCUCAUCGCAUCCUGGGGCUGUAGUCGGUCCCAAGGGUUGGGCUGUUCGCCCAUUAAAGCGGUACGCGAGCUGGGUUCAGAACGUCGUGAGACAGUUCGGUCCCUAUCCGUCGUGGGCGUAGGAAAUUUGAGAGGAGCUGUCCUUAGUACGAGAGGACCGGGAUGGACAUACCUCUGGUGUACCAGUUGUCGUGCCAACGGCAUAGCUGGGUAGCUAUGUGUGGACGGGAUAAGUGCUGAAAGCAUCUAAGCAUGAAGCCCCCCUCAAGAUGAGAUUUCCCAACUUCGGUUAUAAGAUCCCUCAAAGAUGAUGAGGUUAAUAGGUUCGAGGUGGAAGCAUGGUGACAUGUGGAGCUGACGAAUACUAAUCGAUCGAAGACUUAAUCAA